GGACGAACGCUGGCGGCGUGCUUACCACAUGCAAGUCGAACGGAAAGGCCCUGCUUGCAGGGUACUCGAGUGGCGAACGGGUGAGUAACACGUGGGUGAUCUGCCCUGCACUUCGGGAUAAGCCUGGGAAACUGGGUCUAAUACCGGAUAGGAGCCAUUUUUAGUGUGAUGGUUGGAAAGUUUUUUCGGUGUAGGAUGAGCUCGCGGCCUAUCAGCUUGUUGGUGGGGUAAUGGCCUACCAAGGCGGCGACGGGUAGCCGGCCUGAGAGGGUGGACGGCCACAUUGGGACUGAGAUACGGCCCAGACUCCUACGGGAGGCAGCAGUGGGGAAUAUUGCACAAUGGGCGCAAGCCUGAUGCAGCGACGCCGCGUGGGGGAUGACGGCCUUCGGGUUGUAAACUCCUUUCGCUAGGGACGAAGCUUUUUGUGACGGUACCUAGAUAAGAAGCACCGGCUAACUACGUG
rnacentral:rRNA from 1 species